GACGAACGCUGGCGGCGUGCUUAACACAUGCAAGUCGAACGCUGAAGCACCAGCUUGCUGGUGUGGAUGAGUGGCGAACGGGUGAGUAAUACGUGAGUAACCUGCCCUUGACUCUGGGAUAAGCCCGGGAAACUGGGUCUAAUACUGGAUGCUACAUGUCACCGCAUGGUGGUGUGUGGAAAGGGUUUACUGGUCUUGGAUGGGCUCACGGCCUAUCAGCUUGUUGGUGAGGUAAUGGCUCACCAAGGCGACGACGGGUAGCCGGCCUGAGAGGGUGACCGGCCACACUGGGACUGAGACACGGCCCAGACGCCUACGGGAGGCAGCAGGGGGGAAUAUUGCACAAUGGGCGAAAGCCUGAUGCAGCGGCGCCGCGUGAGGGAGGACGGGCUUCGGGUUGGAAACCUCUUUCAGCAGGGAAGAAGCCACAAGUGACGGUACCUGCAGAAGAAGCGCCGGCUAACUACGUG
rnacentral:rRNA from 1 species